GUAUCACUACCGUUCAUCGUUUUGCCGAAGCACAAGAGAUUGAAUGAACAUGGAGGGAGCAAAGAGAACUCCACUGAGCGCGAGAAAGAAACACAAGAGGAAAAGCAAGAGACUUGUCAGGAGUAUCGUCACCUACCUCAAGUCCGAUGCAUACUUGUACGCUCCUCUGUUUUCCGAUUUGUCACCGCUCCCGCCGCAGAUACAUACGCCUCCACCGUCUAACUCCGAAUCUUCUAAGGCGGAAGACUUGCCUGUUGCAGACUGUGAAGCAGGUACAUCGAAAAUCACGAACUUGGUUACGAUGGAAGUAUCAACCAUGAGGGAAGAUAACAGGAAUCUCAGGUCAGACACUGCAGACCAUGCAUUGCAUAACGGAAGGAUCAGCUCUUCGAAACGAUCACUUGUCAUCUUAGACGGACAACGAACUGGAGUAAGCCGUUGAAACAGAUCUGUCACCACUUUUUUUUGUCUAUUCCAAAGGAAAAGACGGUGAAGCCAGAUCCAAGGGGAGUUCCGAUCAAGUGAGGUUAAUGUGUAGACAUAAUAGCCAAUGUAAUCAUUGUAAAAUACAAAUUUAAUUAAUUAGAUGCGAUAGUUACAAGAGCUCUUGGAGAGGAGAAGAAGAAUAGGGUUUAUCGUGUGAUUGUAAAGCGUUUCUUGUUGAUAAGCUUUUUAGGAAGUGAUGUAUGAAUGAGGAUGACAAAGAUGUGUCCUGUCUGAACAUAUUGCCAUGUUACCCUGUCUAGUCUUUCAUAAGUAGUUGUAUGUCAAGAAA